CAAAAACGUACAGUAAACUUAAAUCCUCUUCUCAGAAUCUGAGAGAUAGUGGGGGCUAUGGGUUUUCAUGGGAUGCUUAUGCAACUCACUUGGGUUGGUGUGCUAUUAUCAGGAAUGGCUGCCGCCGGAGUGGCAGCUCAAUUACCCCGGUCUAACUGCAGCGACCGGUGCGGACAUGUAGAUCAUAUUCCAUUUCCAUUUGGCAUAACUGAAGGUUGUUACCUAAAUAAAGAUUUUGGCCUUAAAUGUAUGUCCGGCGUACUCACAACUGGAGAUCUAGAGCUCGUCGUUACCAACAUUUCUAUCCAAGAAGGUCAGCUAGACAUCUUGAUGUAUGUAGCAUUUCAGUGUUUCAACGUAUUGGGUGACGUUCAAGAUAGUAACAAUCCCUUUCUGAGUGUCCCCAGUUACACAAUUUCGAACACCCAAAACGAGUUCAUGGCCGUUGGCUGUGACACUUAUGCAUACCUUAAUGGUACUCUGAACGGUCUCCCGUUCAGGAUGGGCUGCAUCUCCGUAUGUCAAAACAUUACCAGUGUGGUCGAUGGGUCUUGCUCUGGGAUUGGGUGUUGCCAUGUAGAGAUUCCACCGGGAUUGAAAAAUUUUAAUUUGAAAGCAAACAGCUAUAAAGGUCACACAGAAAUAUUGAGCUUCAAUCCUUGCACCUAUGCUUUUGUCGUUAAAAAAGGCGAGUUCAAUUUCUCCUCCGAUCAUCUUCACAAUCUAAAAGGCAUUAAAACGCUUCCGAUGGUUCUUGAUUGGGCCAUCGGUAAUGAAAGAUGUAACAAAUCGAAUUUUGUAUGCGGAGGGAACAGCGAAUGUUAUGAUCCCGACAACCGGUACGGCUACCGUUGCAAAUGCAAAGCCGGUUAUGAGGGAAACCCGUAUCUCUCAGAUGGUUGCAAAGACGUUAAAGAGUGUCAGGAUCGGAAAGUCAGCAUGUGCACAAUACCAAAACGAUGCGUUGAGAGGAAAGGGAAUUAUGCAUGUUCUUGCCCCAAGUUGCACCGUGGGGAUGGAAGAAAAGAUGGAACAGGGUGUGAAUUGAAUCUCAUUUCAGUGAGUGGGCUGGCCAUUGGUCUUGGUAUAGGCUUUAUAUUUGUGCCCGUGUGCAGUAUCUUGGGGUUGAACUUGAUAAUCAAGCAGAGAAAGCUAAUCAAGCGUAGAGAAAGGUUCUUUCGGCAAAAUGGUGGUUUAUAUUUAAAACAAAUACUCUCCCGACAAGAAAGUUUAGCUGGAACAACAACAAUUUUCAGCGCAGAAGAGCUGAAGAAGGCUAGCAACAAUUACGAUGAGAAUCUAAUUAUUGGAGAAGGAGGGUUUGGUACUGUUUAUAAAGGAUUUUUAUCGGAUAAUACAAUUGUAGCCAUCAAGAAAUCCAAAGUUGUGGAUAGAAGCCAAAUUGAGCAGUUCAUCAACGAGGUUGUUAUACUUUCCCAAAUUAACCAUAGGAACGUGGUUAAACUCUUGGGUUGUUGUUUGGAGACAGAAGUUCCUUUGCUGGUCUACGAAUUCGUCUCUAAUGGUACUCUCUUCCAAUACUUACAUCAUGAAAGCACGGGAUCCACUGUAUCAUGGGAAACUCGUCUUAGGAUAGCUGCAGAAACAGCAGAAGCGCUGUCGUAUCUGCACUCUGCAGCUUCUCCACCUGUAAUUCAUAGAGAUAUCAAGCCUUCGAACAUAUUGCUAGAUGCUAGUUAUACAGCAAAGGUGUCCGAUUUUGGAGCUUCAAGAUUAAUUUCACUAGACCAAACACAAGUAGCAACAAUUGUGCAAGGAACUCUCGGAUACUUAGACCCUGAAUACUUACAAACAAGUCGAUUGACCGAGAAAAGUGAUGUUUAUAGCUUUGGAGUGGUCCUCGUAGAGCUAUUAACAGGAAAAAAGGCGCUGCAGUCAUUUAAAAUGCCGGAGGAGGAGACAAGUCUAACUAUUUAUUUUCUUUCUUGUUUGAAAGAGGAUAGAUUGUUUGAUGUUCUUGAGAAACAUAUAACGAAUGAAGGGAACAGGGUAGAACUGAAGGAAGUAGCUAAUCUUGCGAAGAUGUGCUUAAGUGUGAAAGGGGAGGAUAGGCCUACUAUGAAGCAAGUAGCAACUGAAUUGGAGGGUCUAAGAAAGAUUCAGAAGCAUUCGGGGGUCAAUGCCGAUUCCAAGUCUGAAGACACGGCGGAAUACUUGCGUGGUGCGUCAUCCGCUUCUUCCAAGUACGAUGUUACUAAUAAAAGUAUUGCUGGGUAUGAUAGCAUGAGAGACGACGCAGUAUUGGGCUCUGAUGACGGCAGAUGAUCAGAGCUGAUCUUACCAAUUAAUUCUUAACCAGCUACCAUGUUGUAAUUGCAUAAUUUAUUGCUUCUUCAUCCCUUGUUUCUUUCUUGUCUUUCUUCCUUGAUUUUCUUUUGUUUCAUAGAAGCUUGGUAGAUUAUAUUUAUUGUACAAGUCCCACAUGGGUUAUUUAUGUGUGUAUCUGUAUUAAUUUUUUUUUGGCAAGUGAAUCUGUAUUAUUGGCUUGUAUAUAUAGGCUCAUUCUGUAUAGUAUUAUGUGAGAAUCACCUUCCCCACCUUUUUCUUUUCUCUCUUCGGUAUAUAUCUUCUCCGCAGCCACUAGUCUUUCCAACGAUCUAGUAGCUCUGCCUUCUUCAAAUCUUCCUCUUCCGCACAUCGUUUCGAGCCGGUGACUCCACCAAUCGAAACCUUGGAAGACGAUCUAUCCAGAGCCACCAAAACAACUCCAAUCUGCCACCGCACAUGUUGCCCUGAAGAUUCUUCAUGUUCUGCUAUAUAUGUGCCGCCAUGGUUGUCCAAUCACCUCGGUAGCAAUGCUAAUCGACUAAUCCAAUACCACAGAGUCCAAAUCUGUCAAGAACAGUACCAUUGAAGCUCCGACACCCCGGCGAAAGAUUAUGCGAUGCUGCCUCAUGUGCGCCACACGCCUUCAUCUCUAUAGCGCGUGUCUUACAAGCGCCGACAAGCCUCCAGUACACGUUGUUCACCAUGUUUAAGCCAAACAGAUCGCCACGUCAGUAGAUUCACCAGAAUAAGAAUCAGGCUCCAAACAAUUCCGAAGAAAUCCAGACAAAGCAACUCUUCCCUAGCUAGGGUCUUCUAAUUUCUUAUGGGACGAGAAUUGUCCUUCUUCUGUAUGGAGAUUGAAACCUGACAUAGACUCGAGAGAGAAAUAGGAUUGCCCAUGUGAAAACUCUGCUAUCUAUGAAUGCUACUGGUUUGAAGUGCAUUCUCAGCUGAUGUUUUCGCUUUAGACGCACUAAGAGUAAAAAAUACAGAGUUUGUGAGGAGAAUGCUCUCUUGAUCUUUUUCUAUUACUUGCUGGGCAUAAAUAGCCAUUGUACAAAGCUUUUUGAUCCUAUAAUUUAGGACUGAUUGACAAUCACAUAUUUACAGGGAUUCUAGUAAUUAUAGUCUA